CAAUAGCGUAUACUAAAGUUGUUGCAGUUAAAAAGCUCGUAGUUGAAUUUCUGGUUGUGAAAGAUGGUCCGUUCCUCAAGGAAUGUGUACUAAUCAUUCAUGGCCAUCCUCGGGGAGAAUGUGUGUUACUUUCAGUAGUCGUGCACAGGAACCCCGUCAUUUACUGUGAGCAAAAUAGAGUGUUCAAAGCAGGCUUAUGCCGUUGAAUAUAUUAGCAUGGAAUAAUAAGAUAUGACUUUGGUCUAUUUUGUUUGGUUUUGUCUUUCCUAAAGUAAAUAGAUUAAUUAAGGGAGUAGUUGGGGGUUAGUUCGUAUUCAAUUGUCAGAGGUGGAAAUUACUUGGAUUUAUUGGAAGACGAACUAACUGCGAAAGACAUUUACC
rnacentral:rRNA from 1 species